GAUGAACGCUGGCGGCGUGCCUAAUACAUGCAAGUCGAGCGAACGGACGAGAAGCUUGCUUCUCUGAUGUUAGCGGCGGACGGGUGAGUAACACGUGGAUAACCUACCUAUAAGACUGGGAUAACUUCGGGAAACCGGAGCUAAUACCGGAUAAUAUUUUGAACCGCAUGGUUCAAUAGUGAAAGACGGUUUUGCUGUCACUUAUAGAUGGAUCCGCGCUGCAUUAGCUAGUUGGUAAGGUAACGGCUUACCAAGGCAACGAUGCGUAGCCGACCUGAGAGGGUGGACGGCCCCAAUGGAAACGAGACACCGUCCAGAAUCCUUAGGGGGGGAACCAGAGGGAAUCCUGCCGAAAGGGGGAAAGCCCGAACGAGGCAACGCCGGGGGGUGGAGGAAGGUUUCGGAUUCUAAAACCUUGUUUAUUGGGGAAAAACAAAGUGUAAGGUAACAUGGAACACUUGAACGUACCCUAUCCAGAAAGCCCCGGCAACUACGUG
rnacentral:rRNA from 1 species